GUGACGCGCGCGCGCGAGACCACCGGCGGGGCCCCCCCCACGUCCCACGGUUCCCGGUGGUCCCCCUCUUCACUGAGUGUGUUCACAUGUUUUGCUCAAGUUCUCACAGCUACGAGGGGGCAAUUCAAAUGAAUCCGUAUGUGCCUCCACAUUAGACUAUCCGCUGGGGCUUCCAACCCGAGCAGACGAGAAUGAGAACAAUCACAGAAUUCAUUAAAAUAAAUUCAGACAAAGAAUUUACAUACAACUUGGUAUCAUCAUUCAACAUGCAUUUAUUGAAUGACUGCUGUACAGAUAAGUCCAUGCUUAGAUGUGAAUACUGUGAUAAUAAAACAGUGGCCAGGGAAGGAACCAGCACUGUAGAGGCUGCGGGCAGCCUUGCAGCCCAGUGCUCAACCGCUGCGCCACCAGGGGAGGCCCUGGUUGAAUAAUGCUU